UCACGUCCCCUUUAUCUCCCCCUCCCUCAUUGCGCCGACGCCGUCCAUCCCUCAGGAACCUGGACUCCGCCGGCGCGGGACCCCGGCAAUAAUGUCGAUUUCAGGUUUCAUCUUUUCCAGCGGCAUCGUACCACACGGGCAGAGCUGUGUGCGUGUGGCUGUUUGAUAUAAAAGGACGCCCGACACAAGGACAGAGAAUGCUUUAACUUCACUCCCUCGAGGGUGACCUCCCUCAAGCAGGCACUGCUCAGCGUGCCAACCUCCACCCGCUCCCAAAACGUGGUAAACGCCAGCAAUCUCCCCGUGCGUGCGAAGGGACAAACGCUGCAAGAAUCCAGCCAGCUCCGAGCCCGAGACUCCAUCCACCACUGCCAGGAAAAUCCUACUACGGGGAGAGUGAAGAGUGUGACGAGAGCCUGGGGCUGGGACAGGACUGGGAAUCGGUUAAAAAAACAAAACAAAAAAAAGAAAGACACUGGCUCCAGCCCAGGGUCCCACUUCCACCAGGGUCAUUCGGCGGCGCCGGCGCCGGCAGUGCCCUGGCUUUCCGGUCCGGCGCAGCCCCCAGCCCCUGCUCUUUCGGUCCCGCCCGCUGGCGGUCCGUUCCGGCUUCUGAGCGCACUUCCGGCUGCCCUCUGAGCGGCUGCCGAGCGGGGUGCAUUUCCUGUACAGUCUCUCCCGGGGUGCACCUGUAGGGCAGGCGGGGAGUGCGGGUCCUCCUCCUAGAGUCUGAAGGGUCGCGGGGAAACCACCCGGCGUGGGCCUCCCGCUUGCUCCGCGAGAGCUGCCUUUAAAUUCUGAAGGCCCAGCCCCUCCUCCCCCGGAAGCGCUUGAAGGCGGGUCUUGGGCCUGCAGGGCCUUCGUCCUCUCAGCGCCCGCGUUUCCUCAGUGAAGACACGGGGAGGCGGGGGGGAAAUGAGGGGAGGACCUGGGCGACCAGCUCCCGCCCCUCCGCGGCCGGGCGGCUCGUUUCCGGCGCGACUUAGUUGUGGGCUGGGACGCUUGUAAUACCGCCCGCCCUUCCUCCCGGUCCAGCCCCCAGCCAUGCCAGCGGGCGUGCCCUGGGCCACCUACCUGAAAAUGUUCGCUGCCAGCCUGCUCGCCAUGUGCGCCGGGGCCCAAGCGGUGCACAGAUACUACCGGCCGGACCUGAAGAGGAAAACACCAUGUAAAGGACACACACGGAGAAUGCUAUGUGACAACAGAGGCAAAGAUUGGAGUGACGCAGCUGCGAGCAGGGAACACAGAGGGCUGAGAGCCAUCACCAGAAGCCUGGAAGAGGCAAGGAAGGAGUCCAGCCAGUCUCGGAGCGCGGCUCUGCUGACACGUGGAUUUCAGAUUUCUGGCCUUCAGAACUGAGAGAAUAAAUUUCCGUUGUUUUAAGCGACCCAGUUUGUGGUUUUUGUUAUGUCAGCCCGUGGAAACUAGUAACAAACAUUUCAACCUUUUUUCUGAGUCUAUAAAUAUAGGACAAAAGUAAUUCAUAGAGCAGUUGGCUUUCUGUUCAGGGCUAUUCUAAUACAAGAAGUUUUUCAGAAUUCUGCAUGCUUAAACAUAAUGUCUAGGCUUACUUCUUAGCCAGUUAGCAGAUUGCUACCUGACAUAGAUCUUUGGUGUCAGUGUUGAAAUCUUAAAUAUUAAAUCCCUAAAUGCAAACAAAAUGUUUUUGUUUCACUCUCCAUAGUAAAUACUCUUCAGUUUAACAGUAUGAAGCAACUAAAUGAAAUAGCUUCUUUCCAGCCUUAUAUCAAGCUCGCUCUUUUCUGCUGCCAUGUCAUGUGGUGCCUUAUCAUAUGCUUCCAGCACCAAGAGGCCCUCCGAUUCCGUCAGUGACAGACGAGCGGUAGCCUACCCUAGGGAAAGGAUUGGCAUUCUGGGUAGAAGAUGGAGUUUGGAGUUGAGGCUGCUUGCUGUUUGCUGGGACUUCAUUGACUCUGGCCUUGUGCAUGAGACUGACCUUCUCUGGAUCAAAUUUCAUAGCUGCCAUUAACUCAAUGCUUUUUUGCUCAAAAAAAUUGUAUACUUUACAAAUGGUGAAGCUUGCCACAACUGCCAAUUGCAAGGGCUUUGUAUCAGACUGGAAGAAGUUUGACUAUUUUUUUUAAUUAAAGGAAUCAAAAAUGGUUUCCUA